GUGGGUGUAGCACAGUUGGUUAGCGCGUCAGAUUGUGGAUCUGAAGGUCGAGGGUUCGAGCCCCUCUACCCACC
rnacentral:tRNA from 1 species